rnacentral:rRNA from 1 species
GACGAACGCUGGCGGCGUGCCUAAUACAUGCAAGUAGAACGCACAGUUUAUACCGUAGCUUGCUACACCAUAAACUGUGAGUUGCGAACGGGUGAGUAACGCGUAGGUAACCUGCCUGGUAGCGGGGGAUAACUAUUGGAAACGAUAGCUAAUACCGCAUAAUAUUGAUUAUUGCAUGAUAAUUGAUUGAAAGAUGCUAUUGCAUCACUACCAGAUGGACCUGCGUUGUAUUAGCUAGUAGGUGAGGUAACGGCUCACCUAGGCGACGAUACAUAGCCGACCUGAGAGGGUGAUCGGCCACACUGGGACUGAGACACGGCCCAGACUCCUACGGGAGGCAGCAGUAGGGAAGCUUCGGCAAUGGACGAAAGUCUGACCGAGCAACGCCGCGUGAGUGAAGAAGGUUUUCGGAUCGUAAAGCUCUGUUGUAAGAGAAGAACGGGUGUGAGAGUGGAAAGUUCACACUGUGACGGUAGCUUACCAGAAAGGGACGGCUAACUACGUG